UACGUAGGGGGCAAGCGUUGUCCGGAUUUAUUGGGCGUAAAGCGCUCGCAGGUGGUUCAUUGCGUCGUGCGUGAAAGACCCCGGCUCAACUGGGGAGGGUCGUGCGAAACGGGUGAACUAGAGGCCAGUAGGGGGAUGCGGAAUUCCGGGUGUAGUGGUGGAAUGCGUAGAGAUCCGGAGGAACACCAGCGGCGAAGGCGGCAUCCUGGACUGGUCCUGGCACUCAGGAGCGAAAGCGUGGGGAGCGAUCCGG
rnacentral:rRNA from 1 species